rnacentral:rRNA from 1 species
GUGCUGCAUGGCUGUCGUCAGCUCGUGUCGUGAGAUGUGGGUUAAGUCCCGCAACGAGCGCAACCCUUGUCUUAGUUGCCAUCAUUUAGUUGGGCACUCUAAAGAGACUGCCGGUGUCAAACCGGAGGAAGUGGGGAUGACGUCAAGUCCUCAUGGCCUUUAUGACCAGGGCUACACACGUACUACAAUGGGAAGGGACAAUAGGUUGCGAAGCCGCGAGGCGGAGCCAAUCCAGCAAAACUUCCCUCAGUUCAGAUUGCAGGCUGCAACUCGCCUGCAUGAAGUUGGAGUUGCUAGUAAACGCAGGUCAGCCAUACUGCGUUGAAUACGUUCCCGGGGCUU